rnacentral:rRNA from 1 species
AUGCUCCCGGCCAGCUCGUCGAGCUGCCCCACGGUGGGCGCCAACUGUCGUGGUGGGCGCACGGCAGAUGCCAAGGGAUGGCUAAAGAGAGGAGGAGGCUCGAGGGCGCUGGUGGACUCCAGAGGCGAGGUUGGCAUGAGCGGGCGCGGGACGCUGUACAUGCCCAAGUUCGGGGCUCUCCGGAGAGAUAAUACCCCUAGUCCUGCCGAGUGUAGUUGGAUGAUCGAUAGUACAAUGUUGCUCCUGGAGCUGUAUGGAGGAGGAAGGGAGCUGGCCAAGGCUUGGGCUGCUCCUUCACUCCGGUGUUGCUGUUUUGUGGCUAGUCCUUCCGCCCGCCCCCCGAAUGACCGUGGGCUCCCGGGGGUUUUAUAG